UUCUAUCCACGUUGUAACCUAAAUAUCUCUGAUCUGUAGCUAUAUGGGCCUGGGGACAGACUUAUCAACAGAUAUCCACGUUCGUCUUAAUUCACUGAAUGUUUCUUGAGCCCCACCUUUUUACUGGGUACUGGGGUAGCUCCAGGCAAUAUAGUGAAAAUCCAUCUACUCUCUUUCUUCAAUGAAUUUAGUCUAGAGAAGAAUUUUAAAUGUAGUGUGCUUUUUUUUGCUUUUUAAGAUCCUGAAUACCAUGAAUAAGAAUUGCCAGAUUUGAAAUGCUUUGUUAAGCUUUUUUUAGGCAUGCAGUUCU
rnacentral:lncRNA from 1 species